GACGAACGCUGGCGGCGUGCCUAACACAUGCAAGUCGAACGAACUUAGAGAAGCUUGCUUUUCGAAAGUUAGUGGCGGACGGGUGAGUAACGCGUGAGGAACCUGCCUUUCAGAGGGGGAUAGCGUUUGGAAACGAACGAUAAUACCGCAUAAGAUCUUAGUAUCGCAUGAUACAUAGACCAAAGGAGCAAUCCGCUGAAAGAUGGACUCGCGUCCGAUUAGACAGUUGGCGGGGCAACGGCCCACCAAAUCUACGAUCGGUAGCCGGACUGAGAGGUCGAACGGCCACAUUGGGACUGAGACACGGCCCAGACUCCUACGGGAGGCAGCAGUGGGGAAUAUUGCACAAUGGGCGAAAGCCUGAUGCAGCAACGCCGCGUGAGGGAAGACGGUCUUCGGAUUGUAAACCUCUGUUCUUGGUGACGAAACAAAUGACGGUAGCCAAGCAGAAAGCCACGGCUAACUACGUG
rnacentral:rRNA from 1 species